rnacentral:lncRNA from 1 species
UCACCACCGUCGCUCAUUCUUUCUCCUUCGCCAUCACCGCCUCUGCCACGGACCUUUUCAUCGCCCACGCUAGUAAAUUUCCAGUCGCCCUAAACAAGCCCUCCAAACCUUCUUACGGGUGAAUUUUUCGGUAUGUCAUCAUUUUAUUCUGGUUUCUAUAGCACUUUUUCUUGUUUGAUCUUCCUAUUGGGACCAAUCCGCCCUCACAAGAGGCGUUACCGACACAGAAUUCCUUUAUUAUGGAAUAUACAAUUGUUAUGUUUUUGAGAGGAUUGCAGUGAAGAAUACUAGUGAUCUGGAAGAAGAGUAGAGAUGGGUAUAGUGAGUACUAUAAUGGGGGUUUUCAGGUUUGGAGUGGGAAUCACCAUUGGGAUUUUGAUUGGUAUUACCUGUUCAUCUACUUCCAGCCAACUGAUGUCAAAAUUAGUUCAUGCUCUGUUUCAUUAUGUAUAUGUUAUGAACUUAUAAAUGUAUUCUCACUCUUUUUUGUUUACUUUUGUGUGG